AGGAACUGACCAACAGCUCUAAUGUACACUCAUACACUGUACAAAAUACAUGUUGUGUAUGAAGAUUGUGUGUCUGGUCUGUUCCGGUUCUGUGUUGUUUCUGUUUCUGGCUCCAGGUUUUUUUUUCAUCAUCGGUGUGUGUGUCUGUGUGGCUCUGCUGCUGAUUGGAGGAUUUGCACUGAUGAUCUACAAAAUGAGACACAAGAGAACACACGAUUCAACACCUUCAUCCACAGACAGUGAAGAGUGACCAUUGUUACGGAGCAGAGGGAUAAACAGGAAACCUUUGGGAAAUAACAGCGAAGAGACGUCCACUAGAACAUUUCUCAGUGUGCUGGAAAGAGCAAAAGAGUGAAGUGAACCUUGAGUCCAUGAUGACGAUCCUCCUCAUCUUCACCCUCUCCCUAAUAUCAGGUCCAGUGGGCUGUGUUGAUGUGAUCAGCUACUCUGGAGGAAGCGUCAUUAUGGUCUCUAAACUGUCCUGGAGUUCAGUAAAUAGUAACUAUAUUUGUAAAAUGGAAAACAGAAUUUGCACAGAUAUAUUAAGGUCAAACACUGGAGAGAGCAAUGUUCAAGUGGAACGAUUCACACUUUAUAGACAAAAAGACGGAUUUCUGACAAUGUUUAUCAGAAGGCUGAAGCCACAGGAUGCUGGAAGAUACAGCAUGCGUGUGGGAACUUGGAGCAGCCCUGAUGUGACCCUGAAAGUUGUUAAUGAUUCUUGUUGUUCUGGGCCAAACAUUAUGAAUGCUUAUCAAGGACAGAAUACCACCAUCAUCUGUAACUAUCCAGCGGUGUAUGAGAAAAACAACAAGCAUAUCAUGAAAAUUGAUAAAGACAGUGUUAUUAAACACAUUCUAGAAAUAAAUUCUCAGAAUGGCAGAUUCUCAGUUUCUGAUGACAGAAGUGCUAAAGUUCUCAUUGUGAACAUCGGUGACGUGAGAGAAGCUGAUGAUGGAGUUUAUUUAUGUGGAGCGCAUAUCGGACAGUGGUCAGUCCAGUAUUUCUCCUUCUUCACAGAGAUCCAGCUACAUGUUACAGGUGAAACUUUUAUUCAUGUUGUUUUAAAGAUGUAUGAAUAUUUAUACUAACAGCUCUCACUAACACCACAUAUGUGUGAUUUACAGGACAGUAUUAAAGUUAUGACUAAAAUUACAGGAUUUACUGUGUAAUUGUUUCUUUCAUGUUUUACACAGCAACCACUACCUCCAUGAUGACAUCAGCAACACCAACAGAAAUCUCAUCUGAUGCAGCCAGUAAGAACUCACUCAUACAUAACACUCACUCUUUUAUUCUGUAUUCAUAUUAAACAUGGACAGUCAGAGGAUCAGUCAGAGGAUCAGUCAGGGGAUCAGUGUGUUAUUAUGAGGACAUCGGUAUGUUAAAAUCAGGGGAUCAGUUUGUUAGGGCUAAACACCAGUAACUGGAACUUAAUUGGAUUUGAAGGUUCCUGGUUAAUCCUAGUUUGAUACCAAUAUACUGCUGGAUCUAAUGUCCUUCUUCUACAACAUGACAUCAUUACACCAGCAGAGAGGAUUUAAAAAAGUGCAGAAAGUGAUCAGCAGCUCUAAUCUACACACAUACACACUAUAGCAUACAUGUUACUGGUUAUGUAUAAAGAUUAUGGUAAUGUACAUGUUUGCUUUGUUCCUGUUCUGUAAUGUCUCUGUUUCUGUCUCCAG
ensembl:lncRNA